GACGAACGCUGGCGGCGUGCUUAACACAUGCAAGUCGAACGAAGUGGCGAACGGGUGAGUAACGCGUAAUCAACCUGCCCUUCAGAGGGGGACAACAGUUGGAAACGACUGCUAAUACCGCAUACUGAAGGAGGGGAUUGCGUCUGAUUGGCUAGUUGGGGGGGUAACGGCCCACCAAGGCGAUGAUCAGUAGGCGGUCUGGGGGGAUGGACCGCCACAUCGGGACUGGGACACGGGCCAGGCUCCUACCGGAGGGAGGAGGGGGGAAAUUUUCGCAAUGGGCGGAAGGCUGACGGAGCAACGCCGCGUUGGUGAUGACGGGCUUCGGGUUGUAAAGGUCCGUUAAUCGGGACGCGGUACCGGAAUAGAAAGCCACGGCUAACUACGUGCCAGCAGCCGCGGUAAUAC
rnacentral:rRNA from 1 species